AUUGAACGCUGGCGGCAUGCCUUACACAUGCAAGUCGAACGGCAGCGGGGGAGAAGCUUGCUUUUCCUGCCGGCGAGUGGCGAACGGGUGAGUAAUACAUCGGAACGUGCCCUGUAGUGGGGGAUAACUAGUCGAAAGAUUAGCUAAUACCGCAUACGACCUACGGGUGAAAGCAGGGGAUCUUCGGACCUUGCGCGAUUGAAUGAGCAGAUGUCGGAUUAGCGAGUUGGCGGGGUAAAGGCCUACCAAGGCGGCGAUCCGUAGCUGGUCUGAGAGGAUGAUCAGCCACACUGGAACUGAGACACGGUCCAGACUCCUACGGGAGGCAGCAGUGGGGAAUAUUGGACAAUGGGCGCAAGCCUGAUCCAGCCAUACCGCGUGGGUGAAGAAGGCCUUCGGGUUGUAAAGCCCUUUUGUUGGGAAAGAAAUCCAUCUGGUUAAUACCCGGGUGGGAUGACGGUACCCAAAGAAUAAGCACCGGCUAACUUCGUGCCAGCCGCCGCGGUAA
rnacentral:rRNA from 1 species